rnacentral:misc_RNA from 1 species
GAAAUGCGAUAAGUAAUGUGAAUUGCAGAAUUCAGUGAAUCAUCGAAUCUUUGAACGCACAUUGCGCCCCCUGGCAUUCCGGGGGGCAUGCCUGUUCGAGCGUCAUUACACCACUCAAGCCUGGCUUGGUAUUGAGCGCCGCGGCCUGCCCGCGCGCUCCAAUGUCUCCGGCUGAGCCGUCCGUCUCUAAGCGUUGUUAAUAGCGAUCGCUUGCGAGGCCCGGGCGGUUCGACGCCGUUAAACCCCCCAUUUUCUAUGGUUGACCUCGGAUCAGGUAGGGAUACCCGCUGAACUUAAGC